ACUACUAAUCUAUUACACUUAACACAACCUUCAACCUUGACGACUUCCCAGUCUAUCCAGAACCUGCAAACUUGGGGGUUAGAGGAAAGGGGUGAGCUACUAAAGCCCAGUGAGCAUAACAAUAAAACAAUUUACUAAAUAAAUGCUUUCAUGAAAUGCAUCACAAUACAAACAAUUCACAUCACGGUUGGACUUGUCACCAAUAACCCCCUUUCCUCUUGAUCAUAACAAAAUGCAAGGCGCGUGGAAUGGGCAACCCUGGACUUUCUUACGUGGUGCCAGGACGCGUGGCAUGGGAAGCCCUGGACUUGCUUACAUGGUGCCAGGACGCGUGGCAUGGGCAGCCCUGGACUUGAUUAUCAUACCAUACCGAGGGCUAAUGGGUCAUCCAAUAUCCAUCCACAUCAACAUCAUAAUAUGCAAUGCAUCAUAUUUGUGAAUUCUAAUGCAAAACAACCUAAUACAUAUCAUGGCAUUCGUGAUGCAUGGAUCAUGCUAAAUAGAUUUCAUUACUUUGAAAAUAAGAGAAGUUAUGUUCUACUCACCUUUGGCUGAUAUUGGACUGACUCUGAAGCAGCUAUCUCACUGCUGACCUUCUCGGUUCCUCGGGUCCGAUCCUACACAGGUGGACUCAAAUGAGGGACCAAACAUACUCUAACAUGACUUUAAACAUCUCCCCAAAAAUCCCCUAAAACAUUAUAAACAUGCAUGGAAAAACAGGCAAAAGAAAGCUGAACAGGGGACUUUCGGCGGCAGGUUCGGCAGCCGAAGGUCCCUCCAGAGCCGAAAGUCAGGCACUUUCGGGGGCAGGGUUCGGCAGCCGAAAGCCCUUCCAGAGCCGAAAGUCACAACCUUCGGGGGCAGGUUCGGCUGCCGAAACUCCCCUCCAGAGCCGAAAGUCCAAACUUUCGGGGGCGAGCUUAGGCGGCCAAAACUGCCUCCACAGGCAGGUUCGACGGCCGAACCUGGGCUCUCCCAAAAGGCAGAACCCGAUUCUGCCUUGCAUAUCCAGCCACCCACAACAUCCCAACAUGCAUCAAACCAUACUAAAACAUGCAUAAACACAUUUCCAAGCAUAUAGGGGCAUAAAACUAGCCUAUACCCCAAAAACAUCACAUUUAGCAUACAUUUAUCAUUUAACUAACAUAAACCCUAACAUUUUACAACUAGCCUAAACAUGCAUCAAAACCCUUAACCCCUUCUUAAAACUUACUUAAAACAUCAUAAAAGGCGUGGAUCGACACUUACCUCUUGAAGAUCGAGAGGAGAUGCAAUCCCAAACUCGGAGAUAUGGAGGAACGAGCUCCGGGGGUCUCUAAGCUUCAAAACUUUGAUCUUUAGCUCAAAAAUCUUCAAAACAAGAUGAAAGCUUGUCAAAAACUUGAAAGAUUUGAAGGAAAACAUAAAAUCGACCAAAGGAAGGGAAAAUCUCACCUAUGCCCGAAAAUAGAGAGAGAAAACUCGUCCAUUUUCGGACAAGGGGCCUUUUAUAGGUGGUUGGCCAGACCACCUUUGGGGGCCAAAGGUGCUUCCGCAAGAGCACGAUGUUCGGCGGCCGAACAUGAGAUUCGGUGGCCGAACCUGGACUCUUCCUCCAUGGUGUUUCUUUCAAAAACUCAUUUUCUUUCUUCAUUAAAACUAUAAAAACAUGUAAAACAUUUUAUAAAAACAUAUUUUACCCUUCUAGAGGGUUCCGAGAUCCGAGAUUCCGCCGGAAAGUAGGAAUUUCGAUGCCGGGGUCUAGCCGGGUAUUACAUUCUUCCCCCCUUAAGAACAUUCGUCCCUGAAUGUUCAACACACAAGCAUAGCAUGGCAUAAACAUAAACACAUAAACACUAACCUUAAAAGAGAUAGGGGUAUUGCUGGAGCAUAGACUCCCGUGUCUCCCAGGUACAUUCUUCUAUGUUGUGGUGAUUCUAAAGAACUUUCACCAUCGGGAUUUCCUUGUUCCUUAGCUUUCUGAUCUGUGUGUCUAGGAUCCGCACCGGUUGCUCAACAUAGGUGAGAUCUCCUAGGAUCUCCACAUCAGCCUCAUUAAGAAGCUUGCCCGGAUCUGACACGAACUUCCGUAACAUGGAAAUAUGAAAAACCGGAUGGAUUCUCUCCAUUGAAGCAGGUAGGUACAGCUUGUACGAUACAUUCCCAAUCUUCUGCAAUAUUUCAAAGGGUCCAAUGUGUCGUGGAGCUAGCUUACCUUUCUUCCCAAAACUAAUCACCCUUUCAUAGGAGACACCUUGAGCAACGCCAUAUCUCCCUCCUGAAACUCUACAUGCUUCCUGCGGACAUCUGCAUAGCUCUUCUGCCGACUCACAACAGUUUUGAUCCUUUAUCUGAUAAUGGGCACUACUCUGCUGGUGAUCUCUACUAGCUCAGGCCCUGCUAAGGCCCUUUCUCCAACUUCUUCCCAGCAGACAGGUGACCUGCACUUCCUUCCAUACAAAGCUUCAUAUGGAGCCAUCCCUAUGCUAGCAUGAUAGCUGUUAUUAUAGGCAAACUCCACCAAAGGUAGAUGUUGCCUCCAAGAACCGCCAAAAUCAAGCACACACAUUCUGAGCAUAUCUUCUAUGGUAUGGUACCCUCAUAAUGUCUAGCACCCUCAUAAUGUCCACAAAAUCUAGCACCCUUAUAAUGUCUCCCUUCAGACUUACGUCAUCUGGUACACAUAACCUGUUCCCAUAGCGGAGGAUCCCUUUGCUGUCAAAUCUGAACUCUUCAUUCUUGCCUGACUGAACAUCCUGGAAGUUUUCACUAACUCUGGGUCCUCAUGCUGUUUCUGAGCCACCUGCUCUAGAAACACGGGUGUCACUCUCAUCUGAGCUAUCAAAGCACCUGUACCAGACAAUUCCAACUGCAGCCCUUCAUCAAUGAGCUUGUAAAAUUCCCUCACCACCGGUCUUCUCUCUGCUGUAACAUGGGAUAAACUGCCAAGUAAUUUCCGGCUUAGGGCAUCUGCCACCACAUUUGCCUUACCCGGAUGGUACUGAAUCUUGCAAUCAUAGUCACUAAGCAGUUCCACCCAUCUUCUCUGCCUUAGGUUUAACUCUCUCUGACUUAAGAUGUACUGCUAGCUUUUAUGAUUUGUGAAGAUCUCACAUUUAACCCCAUAAAGGUAAUGCCUCCACAUCUUGAGUGCAAAGAUCACAACUGCCAUCUCUAGGUCAUGUGUGGGAUAAUUCAACUCGUGCUUCUUCAGCUGCCUAGAAGCAUAAGCAGUUACCCUCUCAUUUUGCAUCAACACACAACCUAGUCCCACACGGGAUGCAUCACAAAACACUGUGAAGUCUUCAUUACUGGUAGGCAGAGCUAACACCGGUGCUGACGUCAACCUUUUCCUCAGCUCUUCAAAACUUUCCUCGCACUGAUCAGACCAUACAAACCUCUGAUUUCUCUUGGUUAACCUGGUCAUAGGAGCGGCAAUUUUGGAGAAGUCAUGAACGAACCUCCUGUAGUAACCUGCCAAACCCAAAAAGCUCUUAAUCUCUAUCACUGUAGUGGGUCUAGGCCAGUUAGCUACAACUUCUACUUUCUUGGGGUCCACUUCAAUUCCCUUUUCUGACACAACAUGUCCCAAGAAGGAAAUGCUCCUCAACCAGAAUUCACACUUGGAGAACUUGGCAUACAAGCCGUACACCCUCAGGGUCUGCAAAACUAUCCUCAGAUGAUGGGCAUGCUCCUCUGCGUUUCUGGAAUACACCAAGAUAUCAUCAAUGAAGACAAUAACAAAGUGAUCCAGAUACUGACUGAAAACUCUAUUCAUGAGAUCCAUGAAUGCUGCAGGGGCAUUGGUUAGCCCAAAUGACAUUACUAGGAACUCAUAAUACUCAUAUCUGGUCCUGAACGCCGUCUUCGGCACAUCUUCCUCUCUGAUUCUCAGUUGGUGGUACCCAGAUCUCAGAUCUAUCUUGGAGAAGCAACAUGCUCCUGCUAGCUGGUCAAAUAGAUCAUCGAUCCUGGAUAGAGGAUACUUAUUCUUGGUAGUGACUUUGUUCAACUGCCUGUAGUCGAUACAAAGUCUUAAGGAUUCAUCCUUCUUCUUUACGAACAGCAUGGGAGCACCCCAAGGUGAGGUACUCGGUUGGAUGAAACCCUUGUCUACCAACUCUUGCAACUGCUCCUUUAGCUCCUUCAAGUCUGCUGGAGCCAUCCUGUAGGGGCGAAUAGAGAUUGGUCUGGUUCCAGGCAUCACUUCUAUUUCGAACUCUAUCUCCCUAGCAGGUGGUAGUUCUGGAAGCUCAUCUGGGAAGACAUCUGGAAACUCUCUGACUACAGGCACGGAGGUGGGCUCCCUAACCUGACUAUCAAGCUCUCUCACAUGAGCUAGAAACCCCUGACAACCUCUCCUGAGCAACCUACGAGCCUGUAGGGCUGAUAUCAGACCUCUAGGUGUACCCCUACUGUUUCCCCUGAAGACAACCUCUGACCCAUCUUGUCCUCUAAACCUGACUACCUUGUCUCUGCAGUCCAAGGAAGCACCAUGAGCGGAUAGCCAAUCCAUCCUUAGAAUGACAUCAAAACCAGUCAAAUUUAGAACCACUAGGUCUGCUGGAAGGCAUCUACUCUCAACAAACACUGGGCUAUACCGGCAGACUGACUCUGCCACUGAUGGAUCACACUUGGGUCCACUGACCCAGAGGGGACACUCUAACCCAGAGACUAUCAAACUCAACCUCUCUACGGCUCUCGGAGCAACAAAAGAAUGAGAUGCACCAGGGUCCAUUAAAGCAUACGCAUCUGAACAACCAAUGAUGAGAUUACCUGACACCACGGUGUUUGACGUGUUUGCCUCAUGCUGUGUCAUAGUGAAGAUCCGAGCUGGAGCUGAUAGACCUUCACCCCGGGAACCUGCUGAAGAAGAGGCUGCCCCUCUCCUUCGGCCUCUGCCACUGCCACUGCCUUGUGUCAUGACUGGAGCUACAGGUUGUGCCACACUGCCUGAAGCUGUCUGCUGGGACGGUGCCAUGAAAGCUGCCCUAGGACACUCCCAUGCCAUGUGUUCCUCCUGCCCACACCUGAAGCAGGCUGUUGUCCCAAAUCGACAUACUCCCUUGUGCGGCUUCCCACACCUCAUGCAUUCUGAACCAUCUGAACCUGAGCUCGAGCCACCACCUAAUCCCAGACCGGACUUUAACCGGUUCCAGAACUUGCUCUUCUUGGUCUUGGAUCUGCCCCACUUUUUACUACCUGAAGCUGCUGCACUCAGAGAAGAGGGAUCUAACUUUCCCCCGCCUGGGGUCUUGGAACCCGAAGACUGUGCCACUGACUAUUUAACUGACCCCUCAAUGAUGGCACUAGCCUCCAUCUUCCGUGCUGCAUCCACAAUAGUGUGGAAGCUCUCCCUCUCUGCUGCAAGGAUUAGGGAGGAAUACCUAAGCUGGAGCCUCAUGGUAUACCUCCUAGCUUUCUUCUGAUCUGAGUCAUAUGCCUGACCCACAUAUUGCAGCAACUCUAGAAACUUGUCGGUGUACUCAUCGACACUCAUCUCCUCUGUUUGCCUUAGCUGUUCAAACUCAAGAACUUUCAGCUCCCUGGGGAAAGCCCAUCCAGCAAACUCAUUUGCAAACUCCUCCCAGGACAAGCUCUCCAACCUCGGGUCCACAUAGUUUUUAAACCACUCUCAUGCUUUCUUGCACUUCAAAGUGAACCCCGCCAUAUGAAUGGCUCUACUAUCAUCUGCCUCCAGCUCAUUUGUUACCAUUUUUACCGUUUUGAGGUACUCAAACGGAUCAUCUCCCGUCUUGAACUUGGGAGCAUCCAGCUUCAAGUAAUCGGUCAUCUUUACCUUGCUCCUCACAGAUGAGCUAGGUUUGGGUGUUUGGAUUUCAGGGGAUACAGGUUCUGCUGGUGGUGGAGGAGGUGCAGCAUUCCCUGGGUUAGGGUUUGCUGUAUUUGGGUAGAAGGGUGAGGGUGGAUACGUGGGGUACUGUGGUGGGUAAAAAGGAGGGUAAGGCAUGUAGGAGGGAUAUGGGUUAAAGCUGGAGUAAUCCAAUGUACCCCCCAUUGGAUACCCUGGGCCCUGUGGAAAGGGUUGAUACUGGGGUGGAUAACCAAACCCCGAGGCCUGAGCGCCUCCUUGCGACUCUCCCAUGCCCUCUUCUGACAUACUCAUGCCCAAACUACCAUAUCUUCUCUAUUCAUCCUCCUCUGAUCCCCUUACAUCAGCUGACAUACCACCCUGAACUGUCCCCCUCCUGCUUACAUCAAAAGACCUUCUAGGGUCCCUUGACGGAACCUCUCUACUUGAUCUACAUGACAUUGCCCUUGGCAAAGUAGGGGGACGGGCAUCCAUGCCCUCAUUCUCUGGUGGGACUCCAGUCAAUCGUGCAGAUCGACGAGUGCCUCGCAUUCUGUUUUCUGAAACACAACAUAUACACAUAAACAUUAGCAUCAUAUGGUUCAUGUGGAAACAUAUGAACCCGCAUCAUACAUAGCAUAUCAAUAAUGCACAUGCAUAUAGUCAUGGCAUUUCACAUCAUCGUCAUGACAGGACUCUAUAUCCUAUCCUAGUGGACAUGAUUUUUCCUAUUGUGCUUGCCCUUCUAUGACAUCUAUGAGCCCGACACUCUCUAGGUCCGACCAUAUGAACCUAGGGCUCUGAUACCACUCUGUAACAACCUAGAAACCGGACUGCUACCGGCACUAGAAUCUAGAUCAACUUAAGGUCGCUGGGACCCUUAGCAAGCCUACUAUACAUCCUGUGUACCUGAUAAAAUCCUAUACAUGAUCAUACAUUUUUAUAAAAACUUUAAACUUUUCAUAUACCAAGCUUGACCUGUGCAUGCACCAUAACUGUAAACAUAAAACCCCACACUAGAGCCCUCAUCAAAUGCUCUAGUGGGGCAACAUAUCAUACGUCAAGCCUGGUUCAACAGAACUCAUCAUUAAAACAUUUCAUAUAGAUCAUGUACAAAAAGGGGAUUACCAUUACUAUUAGGGCCAAGCACAAUACUAAACCAUGAAACAUUUCUCUACAUUACAUUACAUCAUACCAUUUUACAUUACAUGUCCACUACUAAUCUAUUACACUUAACACAACCUUCAACCUUGACGACUUCCCGGUCUAUCCCGAACCUUCAAACCUGGGGGUUAAGGGAAAGGGGUGAGCUACUAAAGCCCAGUGAGCACAACAAUAAAAUAAUUUACUAAACAAAUGCUUUCAUGAAAUGCAUCACAACACAAACAAUUCACAUCACAGAUGGACUUGUCACCAAUAACCCCCUUUCCUCUUGAUCAUAACAAAAUGCCAAGACGCGUGGAAUGGGCAGCCCUGGACUUUCUUACGUGGUGCCAGGACGCGUGGCAUGGGCAGCCCUGGACUUGCUUAUCAUACCAUACCGAGGGCUAAUGGGUCAUCCAAUAUCCAUCCACAUCAACAUCAUAAUAUGCAAUGCAUCAUAUUCGUGAAUUCUUAUGCAAAACAGCCUAAUACAUAUCAUGGCAUUCGUGAUGCAUGGAUCAUGCUAAAUAGAUUUCAUUACUUUGAAAAUAAGAGAAGUUAUGUUCUACUCACCUCUGGCUGAUACUGGACUGACUCUGAAGCAGCUAUCUCACUACUGACCUCCUCUGUUCCUCGGGUCCGAUCCUACACAGGUGGACUCAAAUGAGGGACCAAACAUACUCUAACAUGACCUUAAACAUCUCCCAAAAAAAUCCCCUAAAACAUCAUAAACAUGCAUGGAAAAACAAGCAAAGGAAGGCUGAACAGGGGAUUUUCGGCGGUAGGUUCGGCGGCCGAAGGUCCCUCUAGAGCCGAAAGUCAGGCACUUUCGGGGGUAGGGUUCGGCGGCUGAAAGCCCUUCCAGAGCCGAAAGUCACAACCUUCGGGGGCAGGUUCGGCGGCCGAAACUCCCCUCUAGAGCCGAAAGUCCAAACUUUCGGGGGCGAGCUUAGGCGGCCAAAACUGCCUCCACAGGCAGGUUCGGCGGCCGAACCUGGGCUCUCCAAAAAGGCAGAACCCGAUUCUGCCUUGCAUAUCCAGCCACCCACAACAUCCCAACAUGCAUCAAACUAUACUAAAACAUGCAUAAACACAUUUCCAAGCAUAUAGGGGCAUAAAACUAGCCUAUACCCCAAAAACAUCACAUUUAGCAUACAUUUAUCAUUUAACUAACAUAAACCCUAACAUUUUACAACUAGCCUAAACAUGCAUCAAAACCCUUAACCCCUUCUUAAAACUUACUUAAAACAUCAUAAAAGGCGUGGAUCGACACUUACCUCUUGAAGAUCGAGAGGAGAUGCGGUCCCAAACUCGGAGAUAUGGAGGAACGAGCUCCGGGGGUCUCCAAGCUUCAAAACUUUGAUCUUUAGCUCAAAAAUCUUCAAAACAAGAUGAAAGCUUGUCAAAAACUUGAAAGAUUUGAAGGAAAACAUAAAAUCGACCAAAGGAAGGCGAAAUAUCACCUAUGCCCGAAAAUAGAGAGAGAAAACUCGCCCAUUUUCGUACAAGGGGCCUUAUAUAGGUGGCUGGCCAGACCACCUUUGGGGGGCCAAAGGUGCUUCCGCAAGAGCACAAUGUUCGGCGGCCGAACAUGAGGUUCGGCGGCCGAACCUGGACUCUUUCUCCAUGGUGUUUCUUUCAAAAACUCAUUUUUUUUUCUUCAUUAAAACUAUAAAAACAUGUAAAACAUUUUAUAAAAACAUAAUUUACCCUUCUAGAGGAUUCCGACAUCUGAGAUUCCGCCGGAAAGUAGGAAUUCCGAUGCCGGGGUCUAGCCGGGUAUUACAUUCUUCCCCCCUUAAGAACAUUCGUCCCCGAAUGUUCAACACACAAGCAUAGCAUGGCAUAAAUAUAAACACAUAAACACUAACCUUAAAAGAGAUAGGGGUAUUGCUGGAGCAUAGACUCUCGUGUCUCCCAGGUACAUUCUUCUAUGUUGUGGUAAUUCCAAAGGACUUUCACCAUCGGGAUUUCCUUGUUCCUUAGCUUUCUGAUCUGCAUGUCUAGGAUCCGCACCGGCUGCUCAACAUUGGUGAGAUCUCCUAGGAUCUCCACAUCAGCCUCAUUAAGAACCUUGCCCGGAUCUGACAUGAACUUCUGUAACAUGGAAACAUGGCAAAUCGGAUGGAUUCUCUCCAUUGAAGCAGGUAGGUCCAGCUUGUACGAUACAUUCCCAAUCUUCUGCAAGAUUUCAAAGGGUCCGAUGUACCGUGGAGCUAGCUUACCUUUCUUCCCAAAAUAAAUCACCCCUUUCAUAGGAGACACCUUGAGCAACACCAUAUCUCCCUCCUGAAACUCUGCAUGCUUCCUGCGGACAUCUGCAUAGCUCUUUUGCCGACUCACAGCAGUUUUGAUCCUUUCUCUGAUAAUGGGCACUACUCUGCUGGUGAUCUCUACUAGCUCAGGCCCUGCUAAGGCCCUUUCUCCAACUUCUUCCCAGCAGACAGGUGACCUGCAUUUCCUUCCAUACCAAGCUUCAUAUGGAGCCAUCCCUAUGCUACCAUGAUAGCUGUUAUUGUAGGCAAACUCCACCAAAGGUAGAUGUUGCCUCCAAGAACCGCCAAAAUCUAGCACACACAUUCUGAGCAUAUCUUCUAUGGUCUGGAUGGUCCUCUCUGACUGUCCAUCAGUCUGUGGAUGGAAAGCAGUGCUAAAAUAUAGCCUGGUACCCAUAGCAUUCUGCAGACUCCACCAAAACCUGGAGGUGAACUGGGGUCCCCUAUCAGACACUAUUGAAACGGGAGCCCCAUGCAACCUGACAACUUAAUCAACAUACACCUGUGCCAAUUUGUCCACAGAAUAGCCACUCCUGACAGGGAUGAAGUGAGCAAAUUUGGUCAGUCUGUCCACAAACACCCAUAUGGAGUCCAACCUGUUGGAAGCUGCCGGUAACCCCACCACAAAAUCCAUAGCUAUAUUCUCCCAUUUUCACUUUGGAAUCGACAGUGGGUUAAGCAUUCCAGCUGGCCUCUAAUGUUCCAGUUUCACCCUUUGACAAACCUCAUAGGCGGACACAAACUGUGCCACUUCUCUCUUCAUAGCUGUCCACCAAUAGACUCUUUUAAGAUCCUGGUACAUUUUGGUGGCUCUAGGGUGAACGCUGUAUCUAGCCUUAUGAGCUUCCCUCAUAAUGUCUCCCUUCAGACUCACGUCAUCUGGUACACAUAACCUGUUCCCAUAGCGGAGGAUCCCUUUGCUGUCAAAUCUGAACUCUUCAUUCUUGCCUGACUGAACAUCCUGGAAGUUUUCACUAACUCUGGGUCCUCAUGCUGUUUCUGAGCCACCUGCUCUAGAAACACGGGUGUCACUCUCAUCUGAGCUAUCAAAGCACCUGUACCAGACAAUUCCAACUGCAGCCCUUCAUCAAUGAGCUUGUAAAAUUCCCUCACCACCGGUCUUCUCUCUGCUGUAACAUGGGAUAAACUGCCAAGUGAUUUUCGGCUUAGGGCAUCUGCCACCACAUUUGCCUUACCCGGAUGGUACUGAAUCUUGCAAUCAUAGUCACUAAGCAGUUCCACCCAUCUUCUCUGCCUUAGGUUUAACUCUUUCUGACUCAAGAUGUACUGCAAGCUUUUAUGAUCUGUGAAGAUCUCACAUUUAACCGCAUAAAGGUAAUGCCUCCACAUCUUGAGUGCAAAGAACACAGCUGCCAUCUCUAGGUCAUGUGUAGGAUAAUUCAACUCGUGCUUCUUCAGCUGCCUAGAAGCAUAAGCAAUUACCCUCUUAUUUUGCAUCAACACACAACCUAGUCCCACACGGGAUGCAUCACAAAACACUGUGAAGUCUUCAUUACUGGUAGGCAGAGCUAACACCGGUGCUGACGUUAACCUUUUCUUCAGCUCUUCAAAGCUUUCCUCGCACUGAUCAGACCACACAAACCUCUAAUUUUUCUUGGUCAACCUGGUCAUAGGGAUGGCAAUUUUGGAGAAGUCCUAAACGAACCUCCUGUAGUAACCUGCCAAACCCAAAAAGCUCUUAAUCUCUGUCACUGUACUGGGUUUAGGCCAGUUAGCUACCGCUUCUACUUUCUUGGGAUCCAUUUCAAUUCCCUUUUCUGACACAACAUGUCCCAAGAAGGAAAUACUCCUCAACCAGAAUUCACACUUGGAGAACUUGGCAUACAAGCCGUGCUCCCUCAGGGUCUGCAAAACUAUCCUCAGAUGAUGGGCAUGCUCCUCAGCGUUUCUAGAAUACACCAAGAUAUCAUCAAUGAAGACAAUAACAAAGUGAUCCAGAUACUGACUGAAAACUCUGUUCAUGAGAUCCAUGAAUGCUGCAGGGGCAUUGGUUAGCUCAAACGGCAUUACUAGGAACUCAUAAUGCCCAUAUCUGGUCCUCAACGCCGUCUUCGGCACAUCUUCCUCUCUGAUUCUUAGCUGGUGGUACCCAGAUCUCAUAUCUAUCUUGGAGAAGCAACAUGCUCCUGCUAGCUGGUCAAAUAGAUCGUCGAUCCUAGGUAGAGGAUACUUAUUCUUGGUAGUGACUUUGUUCAACUGCCUGUAGUCGAUACAAAGUCUCAAGGAUCCAUCCUUCUUCUUUACGAACAGUAUGGGAGCACCCCAAGGUGAGGUACUCGGUUGGAUGAAACCCUUGUCUACCAACUCUUGCAACUGCUCCUUUAGCUCCUUCAACUCUGCUGGAGCCAUCCUGUAAGGGGGAAUAGAGAUUGGUCUGGUUCCAGGCAUCACUUCUAUUUUGAACUCUAUCUCCCUAGCAGGUGGUAGUUCUGGAAGCUCGUCUGGGAAGACAUCUGGAAACUCUCUGACUACAGGCACGGAGGCGGGCUCCCUAACAUGACUAUCAAGCUCUCUCACAUGAGCUAGAAACCCCUGACAACCUCUCCUGAGCAACCUACGAGCCUGUAGGGCUGAUAUCAGACCUCUAGGUGUACCCCUGCUGUUUCCCCUGAAGACAACCUCUGACCCAUCCUGUCCUCUAAACCUGACUACCUUGUCUCUGCGGUCCAAGGUAGCACCAUGAGCGGAUAGCCAAUCCAUCCCUAGAAUGACAUCAAAAUCAGUCAAAUCUAGAACCACUAGGUCGGCUGGAAGGCAUCUACUCUCAACGAACACUGGGCUAUACCGGCAGACUGACUCUGCCACUGAUGGAUCACACUUGGGUCCACUGACCCAGAGGGGACACUCUAACCCAGAGACUAUCAAACUCAACCUCUCUACGGCUCUCGGAGCAACAAAAGAGUGAGAUGUACCUGGGUCCAUUAAAGCAUACACAUCUGAACAACCAAUGAUGAGAUUACCUGACACCACGGUGUUUGACGUGAUUGCCUCCUGCUGUGUCAUAGUGANNNNNNNNNNNNNNNNNNNNNNNNNNNNNNNNNNNNNNNNNNNNNNNNNNNNNNNNNNNNNNNNNNNNNNNNNNNNNNNNNNNNNNNNNNNNNNNNNNNNNNNNNNNNNNNNNNNNNNNNNNNNNNNNNNNNNNNNNNNNNNNNNNNNNNNNNNNNNNNNNNNNNNNNNNNNNNNNNNNNNNNNNNNNNNNNNNNNNNNNNNNNNNNNNNNNNNNNNNNNNNNNNNNNNNNNNNNNNNNNNNNNNNNNNNNNNNNNNNNNNNNNNNNNNNNNNNNNNNNNNNNNNNNNNNNNNNNNNNNNNNNNNNNNNNNNNNNNNNNNNNNNNNNNNNNNNNNNNNNNNNNNNNNNNNNNNNNNNNNNNNNNNNNNNNNNNNNNNNNNNNNNNNNNNNNNNNNNNNNNNNNNNNNNNNNNNNNNNNNNNNNNNNNNNNNNNNNNNNNNNNNNNNNNNNNNNNNNNNNNNNNNNNNNNNNNNNNNNNNNNNNNNNNNNNNNNNNNNNNNNNNNNNNNNNNNNNNNNNNNNNNNNNNNNNNNNNNNNNNNNNNNNNNNNNNNNNNNNNNNNNNNNNNNNNNNNNNNNNNNNNNNNNNNNNNNNNNNNNNNNNNNNNNNNNNNNNNNNNNNNNNNNNNNNNNNNNNNNNNNNNNNGAAUCUGAGGCCAACACUUGUCAAAAAAAAACAUGACUCAGCUCACUAGCCAACUCAGCUUCGGCUGCCCAAUCGCAUGCGAAACCAUGCAACAUUCGGGGGCCGAACUUGACCUUCGGAAGCCGAACAUUGGGCACUUUCGGCGGCCGAACUUAUCUUCGGCGGCCGAACUUGGCUCCUCUGCCUUGGUUCAUUUCAACUUAAAACUCAAAACUAAAGAACUGUAAAACCAGAAAACACCUCAUAAUACUGAGAAAACAUAACUCCUACCCUUAUAUAGAAUCCCAACACCCCGGAUUCCACCAGACAAUAGGAAUUCCGGUGCCGGAUUCUAGCCGGGUAUUACAGCUGGGACGGUGCCAUGAAAGCUGCCCUAGGACACUCUCGUGCCAUGUGUCCCUCCUGCCCACACCUGAUGCAGGCUGUUGUCCCAAACCGACAUACUCCCUUGUGUGGCUUCCCUCACCUCAUGCAUUCUGAACCAUCCGAACCUGAGCUCGAGCCACCACCUAAUCCCAGACCAGACUUCAACUGGUUCCAGAACUUGCUCUUCUUGAUCUUGGAUCUGCCCCACUUUUUACUACCUGAAGCUGCUGCACUCAGAGAAGAGGGAUCUAACUUUCCCCUGCCUGGGGUCUUGGAACCCGAAGACUGUGCCACUGGCUGUUCAACUGACCCCUCAAUGAUGGCACUAGCCUCCAUCUUCCGUGCUGCAUCCACAAUGGUGUGGAAGCUCUCCCUCUCUGCUGCAAGGAUCAGGGAGGAAUACCUAGGGUGGAGCCUCAUGGUAUACCUCCUAGCUUUCUUCUGAUCUGAGUCGUAUGCCUGACCCACAUAUUGCAGCAACUCCAGAAACUUGUCGGUGUACUCAUCGACACUCACCUCCUCUGUUUGCCUUAGCUGUUCAAACUCAACAACUUUCAGCUCCCUGGGGAAAGCCCAUCCAGUAAACUCAUUUGCAAACUCCUCCCAGGACAAGCUCUCCAACCUCGGGUCCACAUAGUUUUUAAACCACUCUCGUGCUUUCUUGCACUUCAAAGUGAACCCCGCCAUCUGAAUGGCUCUACUAUCAUCUGCCCCUAGCUCAUCUGUUACCAUUUGUACCGUUUUGAGGUAUUCAAACGGAUCAUCUCCCGUCUUGAACUUAGGAGCAUCCAGCUUCAAGUAAUCGGUCAUUUUUACCUUGCUCCCCACAGAUGAGCUAGGUUUGGGUAUUUGGAUUUCAGGGGCUACAGGUUCUGCUGGUGGUGGAGGAGGUGCAGCAUUCCCUGGAUUAGGGUGACUCGCGGUUGUCGAAGCCGGUCAAAAAUAACCUUUCUGGUUAUCAACAAUUUACAACUACAGAUAGUGGUGAAAGGAUCGAAUCCACAGGGAAUUGAAUACUCACCUAUUUCUCUUUUAUGACCAAGAAAAUAAACUGAAAUGAUAAUAAACUAAAAAUGAGAUAAAAACUGAAAGUGGGAUCAAAUGAGAUAAACUGAAAAUUGGGAUCAAAAGUGUCAACAAAAUAACAGGGGGGUUUGAGAUUGAUUGUAGUAAACUAAUAAUGAGAAUAAUAAAUGAAAGCAAAUAAUUAAAUAAAAAUUAAUCAAUAAUGAGAAAGCUCUAGUUGAAGUAUUGGAUCCACUUUAGUUGUUGGGAUUGAUCAUAGACACUUUGUUCUUUUGGGUUGAUUCAAUAGAUUAGGUAUGGAGAUGGAAGACGCUUCUCACCACCAUUAUCUCUCCUUAUUAUUAAAUUAAUUAGGGAACGUCCUCUAAUCAAUUACUAAUUAACAAAUUGCCAAGGAACGUCCUUGGGGCAUAGGCAUCAAAACAAUUGUCAAUUGCAUUAAGAAAUAGAGAGAUCCAAUCCUAGCUACCCAAACGUAUGGAGACAACGCUAGAUCAUGCAACUUCCUUGGUUUUUAUGCCAAGUGUUCUUAUGUAAGAAUAACCUAAGCAAUUACGGACUUAAAUCAUUCAAACUAACAAAUAAUUAUUUUGCAAUUAAAAAUCAACGUAGAUCUCAAUAAUAAAAUAAUAUAAAAAUUAAGUAUGAAAUUGCAUGAAUAUUAAACACCCAAAAGUUAAACAAUAUUUGAUCAAGUCUCACAACCCAUUAAACAACUAAAGCUUCAGCCAAUUAUCCAACUAGAUUAAAGAAAUCAACCACUCAUGGCUGAAUUAAAAACAGAAAAUAAAAGGAAAAAUAAAAGAGGAAGAAGGAACCAAAGGAUGGAGGCGGAGAGCUCCUUGCGCCGGGUUGCGAAAAUUGCCGAAUUUAGAAUUGAAAUUGUGUCUUGUCUUUGGCCGCUUAAGGUUCUUUAAAUAAGUGCAGAGGAGCCCUAAAUGCUGUCCAUGCACGCGGUUUCAUGUGUGAAGUGUGCGUGCCCCACGUGCGCGAUCACUUGGUUGUGAGUGUGGCUGUCCGUGUGUUGGAGUUGAGCUUGGUCCACGUGAAGAGUUUUGAAGCUGGCCCAUGUGCGUGAAUGAUGUUGAGGAAGUGUGCUGGCCCAUGUGAAGAGCUUGGAAGCGGGAGCGCUUCGGCCGGUCCAUGCGCGCGAAGAUUGGUGAAGGCGGGCCAUGUGCGUGAAGAUUGUGCUUUGGCGGGGCCCACGUGCGUGAAGGUUGGUGAAGGCGGGCCAUUUGCGCGUUGGUGAGGUGGAAGCAUGCCUUGGGCGGGCCCGUGUGCGUGAAUUGGGGAAGUGCAGGUCCAUGGGCUGUCCAUGUGUCUAAGUUGCUUGAUUUGGAUCCAAUUUGAUAGGCUUGCUCUCUUUUGCUCCAAAUAAGGCAGUUUUAGGGGCAUUUUCUCCAGAUUGUCCUUUUACACCAUUUUCUGCAAAAUAAUAUUAAAAGCAAUAAAUUAAGCAGAAAUCAUGUAAAUAUUUAUCAAUAAUAUUAAUAUAAAAUGGACUAAUUUAUGCUCUAUCAAAUACCCCCACACUUAGCCUUUUGCUUGUCCUCAAGCAAAUAAACAUAGUCAAACAAGCUUUAUUUGCUCUAGAUCCUUAUUUUCACUUAAGCUCUUACUCAAGACACCUAUUUUGAAGCAUUGUAGUGAAGAAUAUAUGCGUGAAGAUUACUCACCUUCCUUCCUUGUUUCUCUUUACUCACCAUGGCUAGGAUUUGUUUUGCUCAAGAGAGACCAUACAUGCACAUUUUUGUUAAGACUUUUUCUAGCUUUCAGAGUGACUUACCCUUACCUUGAAGUACUUUAUUCAGGCUUUUGCACUUAGAUUUUGCUUGAAAAAGUCACCAACCUUUUGAUGUGAAGGUACAUAUUUGUGAUACCCACCCCCAGUUACUCAGUUGGUCAUCUUUUCAAGUGGCUACUAGCUCUGUUCUUAGCCUUUUGACCAUUGGAACAAUUCUUUUACUUUGUGAUUUUGAGGUCUUUGCCUUUGCUGAAUUUUGUUUCUCUCAAUGAUUUGGGCAAAUCAACACCAAUUGCUAAAUCAAGUCACAUUAAGUUCAUUCACACAACUUUUAAUUUAUUCUCAUCAAUUGAGGGUCAUCAAUAUAUUUUUCACUAUUGGCAAGCUCAAAGAUUCAAUUCAAAAGGAAAUUCUCAAACAUGAAUAUAACUCACUGCAAUUGAUUCAACAUAAGUUUAAAGAGUUAUCUCAUCAAUGGGGUCAUGGAAAGAAAAGCUCAUCCAACAUAGUUCAUCAGUUUGAGUAGAGCAAAACAAAAAGAAGAAGGUUAUGGUUGUGCGUGUUUUAUUGAAAGCAAAAAUAAAAAAUUUUCAGACUGUGGCUAAUUAAACUGAAAGAAACGCAAAAUGCAAAAAACUGAAAGGGAAAUUUCUCAAAUCUGAAAGAGAAGGGAGGAGAAGAGGAAAAGAAGAGGAGAAGGAGAGAAGAAGAGAGAUAUGCACCCCCACACUUAAAUCAUGCAUUGUCCUCAAUGUAAAAGAAAAGAAAAGAACAAAGGAAUCUGAAUACUCCCCUGGGGUGUGGUGCACAUGGUGUGAUCCUCUUAGGCAGAAUGAGUGACGAACAAAUGUUCGUCUGGGAAGGCUUCCUCAACUGGACAAGGCGCAGAACUGGAUGGAAGCCGACUAAGGUGAUCAGCCACAAGAUUUUCCUUACCUUUUUUGUCUCUUAUCUCUAGAUCAAAUUCUUGUAGGAGAAGAAUCCACCGAAUUAGUCUCAGUUUUGCUUCCUUUUUCUUGAUCAGAUAUCGCAGAGCUGCAUGGUCAGAAUAGACAAUGACUUUGGUGCCCAAGAGGUAAGGUCUGAAUUUUUCUAAAGCGAAUACAACUACCAAGAGCUCUUUUUCAGUUGUUGUGUAGUUGCUUUGUGCAGCAUCUAGUGUGCGAGAGGCAUAGUGAAUGGCGUGGGGUGAGUUUCCCACACGUUGUCCCAAGACUGCUCCUACUGCAUAAUUGCUUGCAUCACACAUGAUUUCAAAGGGCAAGCUCCAGUCAGGUCCCUGAAUGAUUGGGGUAGUCACAAGCAAUUCUUUAAUCAAAUCAAAUGCCUUUUUACAAUCUGCAUCAAAAUCAAAUGUUACAUCCUGUUGGAGCAAUCUGCAUAAUGGCAAAGUAAUUUUUGAGAAAUCUUUGAUGAAUCUUCUAUAGAAUCCUGCAUGGCCAAGGAAUGACCGAAUUUCUCUAACAUUAGUGGGGUAAGGCAGAUUUUUAAUGGUAUCCACCUUAGCCUUGUCCACUUCAAUGCCCUUAGCUGAAACAACAUGUCCUAAGACCAUACCUUGAUUAACCAUAAAAGGACAUUUUUCAUAAUUAAGCACAAGGUUAGUCUCAAUGCAUCUUUGUAAGAUCUUUUCCAAGUUGGCAAGGCAUUCCUCAAAAGAGUUACCAUGCACUGUGAAAUCAUCCAUGAACACUUCAAUUGUCUUACCCACAUAAUCAGAAAAUAUACUCAUCAUGCGUCGCUGAAAGGUGGCAGGUGCAUUGCAUAGUCCAAAUGGCAUUCUCCUAAAGGCAAAAGUGCCAAAAGGACAAGUGAAGGUGGUCUUCUCUUGGUCCUCAGGAGCAACUGGAAUCUGAUAAAAACCUGAAUAACCAUCAAGACAACAGUAAUGGGACUUACCUACAAGUCUUUCUAGCAUUUGAUCAAUGAAGGGAAGAGGGAAGUGGUCUUUCCUUGUUACAACAUUGAGCUUCCUAUAGUCCAUGCAUACCCUCCAUCCAUUUUGAACUCUCGUGGGAACAAGUUCCCCUUCAGCAUUUGGGACAAUGGCAAUUCCAGUUUUCUUUGGAACUACAUGCACCGGACUCACCCAUUUGCUAUCAGAGAUAGGGUAGAUAAUACCUGCAUCAAGGAGCUUGACUAUUUCUUUCUUCACUACUUCCAUCAUAGGUGGAUUCAGUCUUCUUUGAGCAUCUCUGACUGGCUUGCAUUCAUCCUCCAUGUGUAUUCUAUGCAUGCAUGUGGAAGGAGAAAUACCUUUUAUGUCAUCUAUUGUAAUACCCGGCUAGAUUCCGGCAUCGGAAUCUCUACCUUCCGGCGGAAUCUCCGUUGGAAUCUGGAGUUUCGGGGAUGCCAGAGGCUUUUAGAGGGGUAAAAUGUGUUUUCUCAAAUGUCUUUACUGAUUUUUGGGUUUAAAUGGAAAAGAAUUGAGUUUUGAAAAGGAAGAGACCAAGGAGACAUUUGCCAGGUUCGGCCGCCGAAAGUGAAGUUCGGCCGCCGAACAUGGAAAGGCUUCGGGAGCGCCUUUGGCCUCCGAAAGUCUUGUUUGNNNNNNNNNNNNNNNNNNNNNNNNNNNNNNNNNNNNNNNNNNNNNNNNNNNNNNNNNNNNNNNNNNNNNNNNNNNNNNNNNNNNNNNNNNNNNNNNNNNNNNNNNNNNNNNNNNNNNNNNNNNNNNNNNNNNNNNNNNNNNNNNNNNNNNNNNNNNNNNNNNNNNNNNNNNNNNNNNNNNNNNNNNNNNNNNNNNNNNNNNNNNNNNNNNNNNNNNNNNNNNNNNNNNNNNNNNNNNNNNNNNNNNNNNNNNNNNNNNNNNNNNNNNNNNNNNNNNNNNNNNNNNNNNNNNNNNNNNNNNNNNNNNNNNNNNNNNNNNNNNNNNNNNNNNNNNNNNNNNNNNNNNNNNNNNNNNNNNNNNNNNACAACCCUCGAUCUUCAAGAGGUAAGUGUAGAUCCUUGCUUCCCUAGUGUUUUUAUGAAGUUUUAUGAAGGUUUUGAUGGUUGAGUAUGGGUAGAUAUGCAUGUUAGGAUUUAUGUGGGUUUUAUGCCCAAUGUAUGAUUAUAUGUGUUUAUGUGAUGAUAUGUUGUUAGUUUAUGCUCCUUUAUGCAUGUGGGAGUGAGUAUGCAUGAUUGGGAAAGAGUAUGUGAGGAUUUGGGUUGUUUUGAUGGUUUUGGUCUAUGUGGGUCAUAAGCUAUCUAUGUAUGUUUUGUUGUUGUUUUUGGAGUUUAAUCAAGCUAUUAAGCUCCUUUGUGCAUGGCUAAGGGUUUAUGCAUGUUUUGGUAAGGUUGGGUGCUUGUUUUGGGGUGUUUGGAAGGUUUGGGAGGCUCAAAUGCAUGAGAAGCUGAGUUUUGCCCUUCUGGGAAGAACUCAGGUUCGGCCGCCGAAAGUGGCUUCGGCCGCCAAACCUGCCUUUGGAUGCAUGGAUUGGCUGCCUAACCUUGCCCCCGAAAGUUGAGCUUUGGCUUGAAAGCAGACUUUCGGCCGCCGAAGGAAGGAUUCGGUCGCCGAAAGUGCCUGACUUUCGUCUCUGGAGUGGGACUUUCGACCGCCGAAGGUGCCGCCGAAAGUGCCCGAGUUUCGUCUCUGGAGGGAGGGUUCGGCCGCCGAAGGCGCCGCCGAAAGUGCCCUGUCCAGCCUUUUCAAGGUUGUUUUCUAUGCAUGUUUAAGUGAUGUUUUAGGGGGUUUUUGGAGGUAUGUUUAUGAGUUGUUUAGAGUGUGUUGGCACCUCAUUCGAGUCCACCUGUGUAGGAUCGGACCCGAGGGACCGAGGAGGCCAGUAGUGCUAGCAGUUGCAGAGUCAGUCAGCAUCUGCCAGGAGGUGAGUAGAACUAAACUUAAUUUUUAUUUUAUGAAAUCAAAUGCCUAGAGCAUGUUCAUACAUCAUGUUUAUAUGUAAUAGGUUGAUUGCACUAGUUACACGAAUAUGAAGCAUUGCAUUAUUUACUGUUAAUGGAGAUUGGACCAAGGACGACCCCACUAGCCCUAUGGAUAAGACCUGGCUGGGCCAGGCAUUACGAAGUCCUGUGGUGCCCUCUAUGGUGGCCGGGCAAAUAGCUUAGGGAUGUUUCGGGGUUGGGUCCAAUCCGUGAUAUGACUUGUUUGUGCUGUGACGCAUUUCAUAAAUGCAUGUAAUUAAUGAAUUGUUUUCCUUGUUUCUACUCACUGGGCUUUUUAGCUCACCCCUCUCCCCUAACCCCAGUUUUGCAGGACCAGAGCUAAGUUAAGCCAGAGUAAGUCAGAGUAAGCUAUGGGGAAGGAAGAGUGAUGCAUGGUUUGCUGUGUUUUGAUGUAAUAGUAUAGCUUAGUGUAUGUAUAUGGUAAGUAGCUGGAUAUAAAGAGAUGUAUGCCUGUAUGCUUGUUUACUUGAAUAGUAUAGUGGUGGACAUGAUGUAUAUAAAGGAUAUGAUAUGAUGAUGUAUGUAAAGUUAUGUUUAUGGAUUAGUACUGUGCUUGACCCUGAGACUCGGUUAGUCCCUGUUUAAUACAUGAUGUAUGUAAUGUUUUAGGAUGUUGAGUUGUGUUUGAACUAAUCUUGUGGCAUGUGUUGUUUACCACGCUAUGGUAAUUGAUGAGGGCCCUGCAGGAGGUCUUAUGUUUGUGGUUUGAUGCAUGCACAGGUUAGGUUCUAGUUCCUUGGAUAUAAUCCCAGCUUGAUGUAUGUUAUGUUGACCCAGCUAGAGUUUUGAUGAGGGCUCUAGUAGGGGAUCCUUUUAUGUUUUCAGCUAUGUUGCAUACAGGUCAAGCUCGGUCUAUACAUCUUAUGUUUCAGUUUUUAUGUUAAAGUUUUCAUCAUGUAGGGGAUUUGACCAGGUGAUAGGAGGUAUGUUUGGCUUGCUACGGGUCCCGGCGGCCUUAAGCCGAUCUGGAUCCUAGCGCCGGUGGCGAUACGGGCCGUUACGGUAGGGUAUCGGUUUCCGGGCUGUUACAUCUAUGGUCCAUCCUAUGGCUUCUUUGUGUUUCUGGAGUACUUUCAGGAGGCUUGCUUCUUCAUGUAGGUUCAAUUCAUUGGACACUAUUACUGGUAUGUCUUAUCAGUUCCCAAGUACAUGUAUUUCAGAUGUCCUGGAAGAGGCUUCAGAUUUGAAGAGUGUUGCAAAGGUGUUUGCGCAGAGGUGGUUUCAGAAAUCUCCUUUUGUGCAAGGUUUGACUGCAAAGGAGAACUAGAAGAGCUUGCUUGCAUUGGAGACUGCAAGGGUGCGCAUGAAGGUGUCUCAGUUUGCGCAAUGCCCUUCUGCGCAUUCUUCUGAAGAGGUGCUUCAGAGGUUCCUUCAUUCCGUGCUUGACUGCAAACUAUCUGUUGGAUGCUACAGACUGUUUCCUUAAGUUUUGGCUCUUUCUGUACCUGAUCAGUAUCUCUGCAGAAAUCACUAUUAAGAAUAUCAUCUUGAUUUUCAUAAAAAAUUUCCUGGCUCAAGCAGUCAACAAUAUCAAGACCAUAAACAGGGGACAUAUCGUGUGGAUAUUUCAUAGAAUCAUAGACAUUAUAUUUAAUAACUUCCCCUUCAAAUUCCAUGGUCAAAGUACCAUCAUGCACAUCAAUUUUAGUCCUAGCAGUACUCAAGAAGGGACGUCCAAGAAGUAUAUCAGAACUAGUAUUGCAACUAUCUUCCUUUGUAUCAAUCACAUAAAAAUCAGCAGGAAAGACUAGUUCAUCUACUUGUACUAACACAUCUUCUAGAACUCCUAUGGGAUAUACCACGGAUCUAUCAGCUAGUUGUAUCACUACUCUUGUGUCUUUCAGUGCACAUGCAUUCAGAGAUUUAUAGAUGGAGAGAGGCAUGACAUUUAUGGAUGCACCAAGAUCACACAUAGCUUUCUUUAUACCAACAUUUCCAAUUUUGCAAGAGAUAGCAAACAUACCUUUAUCCUUGCAUUUAGUAGGGAGUUCUCUUUUGAUAACAGCAGUAACUACUUCACCUACACUUACUUUUUCUCUUUAAGCAAGCUUUCUUCUAUUGGUGCAAAGCUCUUUCAGAAAUUUUGCGUACCUUGAAAUUUGCUUGAUAGCAUCUAGCAGUGGUAUGUUGAUCUCUACUUUUCUGAAAGUCUCAAGGAUCUCCUUUUCUUCUUUUUCUUUUUGCGUUCUUUUAAAUAUUUUUGGAAAAGGAGGUGGAAUGUGAAAACUUACUUUUGGAUUAGUCUUGUGCGCAGGAGGUGGUUCGGAUUGCAUGGGAUCUUGCGCAACUCGUGUAGGCUUUAGUGGAGGUUGUUUUUCUUCCUCAUAUCUUGCAUCUUGAAGCUUUUUUCCACUUUCAAAGUAAUAGCACUAACAUUCUGUCUGGGAUUAGUUUCAGUUUGAGAAGGGAGCUUACCUUGGGAUUCAGAUCUGCCGAUGGAUGCAGCCAGUUGGCCUAUCUCUUGUGGCAUGCCUUGCAUGGUGUUUACCAUUGUUUCCAUCAUUGUUUGCAUAAUCUUUUCAAGGUGCUGAUUUGGAUUUGGAGGUGUUGGUUAGGCUUGGUUUUUUUGGUAAUUUUGGUAAUUCUGAUCAUUGUUGGCCUUUCCAUAGCUGAAGUUGGGAUGGUCUCUCCAACCUGGAUUGUAUGUAUUGGAAUAUGGAUCAUGUCUAGGCUGGUUGUUGUACCUCCCAAUUGCAUUGACUUGAUGAUUGUCUUCUUGGAGGGUAGGACAUUGAUCAAUUGGAUGUCCCACAUAUGAACAGAUACCACAUGGCCUAGAAGGCUGGGGUGCUUGAAUCUGUUGCACUACUUCUAUGGCAAUAUUUUUCAUAACAGAUGUUAGUUUGGAAAUAGUAGGAAAACUUACCUCAUUGGCUCUUUGUAGUUGUUUCUCCUCUCCAUAUUGCCUAGAUGAGGCUGCAAGAGUGGAGAUUAACUCUCUCAUCUCCCUAGGUGUCUUGUCUAUAAUGGAUCCUCCACAAGCUACAUUUAUGAAUUUUCUUUCUGAUGGGAGCAAUCCUUCAUGGAAGAAUUGUAUGAGGGCUUUGUCUGACAUAUCAUGUUGUGGACAAUCUGUACAUAGUCUUUCAAACCUUUCCCAAUAAUCAUAUAAGUCCUCAGUUUGUUUCUGUCUUAUGCUAGUGAUUUCUCUUAUUAUGCCAAUUGAUUUAGAUGGUGGGAAGUAUUUGUCCAAAAAAAUUUGGACCAUAUCAUCCUAAGAAGUGAUAGAUCCAGGUGGCAAAUAAAAUAACCAAUCCUUAGCAUAGUCAUCUAAUGAAAAGGGAAAAACUCUUAACUUAACAUGAUCUUCAGAUAUACCUUGAGGUCUCAUGGAUGAACAAACAAUAGUGAAUUCUUUCAAGUGCUUGUGUGGAUUUUCAUUUUCUCUACCUCUAAAUUUAGGAAGAAGAUGUAUCAAACCUGUCUUUAGUUCAAAGGGAACUGUAAGAGGCGGAUAGGUGAUGCAAAGUGGUGCAUGAUCACCUACAGGAGUUGCCAAUUCUCUCAUGGUUCUUUCUCUUUGUACUGGGGGCCUAAUUGCUGGAUUUUCUUGAAUGAUUUGGUUCUGGACUGCAUGUCUAUUAUUGGCAGCAACUUGUGGAUUAGGUUCAGCCAUUGGUGCGGCUUGUGGUGCGAUUGGAGCUUCUUUCGGAUGAACUGCUUGCUUUCCUAGUCUUCUGAAAGUGCGUUCUAUUUUCGGAUCGUAAGGCAGAGUAUCCCUACAUUCAGAUCUGGUCAUGAAAGAAAAAUAAAUAAGUUAAAUCAAUUCCCCGGCAAUGGCGUCAAUUUUUGACUCACGGUUGUCGAAGCCGGUCAAAAAUAACCUUUCUGGUUAUCAACAAUUUACAACUGCAGAUAGUGGUGAAAGGAUCGAAUCCACAGGGAAUUGAAUACUCACCUAUUUCUCUUUUAUGACCAGGAAAAUAAACUAAAAUGAUAAUAAACUAAAAAUGAGAUAAACUGAAAAAUGGGAUCAAAACUGUCAACAAAAUAACAGGGGGGUUUGAGAUUGAUUGUAGUAAACUAAUAAUGAGAAUAAUAAAUGAAAGCAAAUAAUUAAAUAAAAAUUAAUCAAUAAUGAGAAAGCUCUAGUUGAAGUAUUGGAUCCACUUUAGUUGUUGGGAUUGAUCACAGACACUUUGUUCUUUUGGGUUGAUUUAAUAGAUUAGUUAUGGAGAUGGAAGACGCUUCUCACCACCAUUAUCUCUCCUUAUUAUUAAAUUAAUUAGGGAACGUCCUCUAAUCAAUUACUAAUUAACAAAUUGCCAAGGAACGUCCUUGGGCCAUAGGCAUCAAAACAAUUGUCAAUUGCAUUAAGAAAUAGAGAGAUCCAAUCCUAGUUACCCAAACAUAUGGAGACAACGCUAGAUCAUGCAACUUCCUUGGUUUUUAUGCCAAGUGUUCUUAUGUAAGAAUAACCUAAGCAAUUACGGACUUAAAUCAUU
rnacentral:lncRNA from 1 species